AUACGGAGGGUGCAAGCGUUAAUCGGAAUUACUGGGCGUAAAGCGUACGUAGGCGGUCCGUUAAGUUAGAUGUGAAAGCCCCGGGCUUAACCUGGGAACUGCAUUUAAAACUGGCGGACUAGAGUUGAGUAGAGGGGAGUGGAAUUUCAGGUGUAGCGGUGAAAUGCGUAGAGAUCUGAAGGAACACCAGUGGCGAAGGCGACUCCCUGGACUCGAACUGACGCUGAGGUACGAAAGCGUGGGUAGCAAACGGGAGUAGAUACCCUAGUAGUCC
rnacentral:rRNA from 1 species